AGAAAUGACAAGGAUAUAAAGAGCAAGCACAUCGAGUUCUAGAAGACCAUAUCAACGAGAGUCUAGAUAAACUCAUGUGUAUAGCCGAAAGCUUAGUUACGGUGGUAGGUCAACACGUGGUCCAUAACCAAAGUACUGUUAAUGGUAAUAAUACUAGGAUAAAUAACACCCAACUGAUGGAGGAAAAUAAUGAAAAUCUCAUUAAAAGAUUCAAAAGGAUGAACCUACCACCAUUUUUUAGAGUAACUGACCUGAUAUUAGC
rnacentral:lncRNA from 1 species